AUGGGCGCAAGCCUGAUGCAGCCAUGCCGCGUGUAUGAAGAAGGCCUUCGGGUUGUAAAGUACUUUCAGCGGGGAGGAAGGGAGUAAAGUUAAUACCUUUGCUCAUUGACGUUACCCGCAGAAGAAGCACCGGCUAACUCCGUGCCAGCAGCCGCGGUAAUACGGAGGGUGCAAGCGUUAAUCGGAAUUACUGGGCGUAAAGCGCACGCAGGCGGUUUGUUAAGUCAGAUGUGAAAUCCCCGGGCUCAAC
rnacentral:rRNA from 1 species